rnacentral:rRNA from 1 species
UACAGAGGUCCCAAGCGUUGUUCGGAUUCACUGGGCGUAAAGGGUGCGUAGGUGGCGAGGUAAGUCGGAUGUGAAAUCUCGGAGCUCAACUCCGAAACUGCAUUGGAAACUACCUUGCUCGAGGGUUGGAGGGGGGACUGGAAUCUCGGUGUAGCAGUGAAAUGCGUAGAUAUCGGAGAGGAACACCAGUGGCGAAGGCGAGUCCCUGGACAACUCCUGACACUGAGGCACGAAAGCUAGGGGAGCAAACAGG